CAGAAAUACAGGAAAGUAUCCACUGCCAGUCCAAAGUCUCUGCUUAGCUGCUCUGAAUCUCCUCCAUACUUAACGGGAAGCUUGGAACUAAGGAUUCUGCAUGAACAUCUGAAAUACAGUACACAGGGACAUUUUUAUUCAGACUAAAAAGAGACAAGUAACAGGACAAGAACAUUCUUCUAUAUAAUGUAAGUUUCUGGGCUUAGCCAAGGUUCAUGGUAGUCUCAGAACCCAAACUAAUGCAGACAUGAGCAGCUCUGGCCAGGAUGAUCUCUAGUAUCCUGUGAGCUGGAUGUAGCCCAAGGGAUGAUUCUGCUUGGCCAACUGCCUCUUCCUCAGAAGAGCUGUCACGGCUUCCUCCACGUGGGCGGAGAGAUGGAUGGAUGGGGAUGUAUGCCUCCUACAGAGGGCCCAGGAACACCUCCAUAUGGCCCAUGCAGAAAAGACAAGACAAAGCU